GGCAGUGCAAGUAUACAAACCAUUUGCUCUAUAAGCAUUCUGUUUUCGGGGGAAUUGUGGGUGGGUUGACUACCCUUGCAGCGAUGAAGAAGGUUCAUGUGGAUGACAGUCGCCGACAUUUGGGUGUUCAGCAGUUCAUGGCCUUCCAGUUUCAAUGCCGAUGAUAGCCUCAUCGAUUCUCCGCCAGCAAGGACUCCUUAGUCCAUUUAAGGAGGGAUUUUCGAGGUUCUUAUGGAUUUCACCUCUGGGUGUUGUGAACUUCGCAGGUUACAAGCUUGCACAGAAGGAAAUGGACAAAAGAUGAAGAGCGGUCAACAAAUAAUCAGCUAAACAGUUUUGUUUCGAGGCAAAGGAAAAUUUAUUAAUAUGGAGUGGUGUUUACUUAAUUAGCAUGAGGGCAGAGAAUGAUCUAUCAUGGAAGAUUAAAGAGUUGCGUGCAUGUCUAGAUUUAACUCAUAAUAUGAUUUUUAAAGACUUGAGAGUUUCAAGACUGGAAGAUGAUGCGCUGAUGGACUUCCUCUGGGAAAAUGCACAUGAACUUCAUAGAUGUUCCUUUCUGGGGAAAAAGGCUCUGAAAAAUCUUCCUUACGUUCGCAUGAAUUCUGUAAGCUCCACUGCUCCGGUAUCAGAGAAACCAACAUAGGCGGAUAAACUUUUAUUAUUUUAAAACGUUGUUUGGAUGGAUGCACAUCAUUUGUGAAAAAAUUGUUGGUUU